GACGAACGCUGGCGGCGUGCUUAACACAUGCAAGUCGAACGGCAGCACGGGAGCUUGCUCCUGGUGGCGAGUGGCGGACGGGUGAGUAACACGUAGGAAUCUGCCUGGUAAUGGGGGGAUAACCCGGGGAAACUCGGGCUAAUACCGCAUACGCUCCACGGAGGAAAGCGGGGGAUCUUCGGACCUCGCGUUAUCAGAUGAGCCUGCGUCCGAUUAGCUAGUUGGUGGGGUAAAGGCCCACCAAGGCGACGAUCGGUAGCUGGUCUGAGAGGACGAUCAGCCACACUGGAACUGAGACACGGUCCAGACUCCUACGGGAGGCAG
rnacentral:rRNA from 1 species